GAAACAAUUUGUAUGAACCAGUAACUAGAUUUGUUCCACAUAUUUUUUUACUAAAACAAUUUUUGUCAAAAUUUGAUAUCAAAAUGAUAUAAAAAUAGAACAUCCUAGGAUAAUGGGGUCGGUUAACCUAACCUAACACAACGAUAGUCCAUUGCUAACGAAAGAACGAUUCUGACCGCAGUUCAGUUGAUAGUGAUGCUUUGUCAACAAUAUAUGUAUGUCAUAUUAUGGUAAAAUAAUUAAAUAGACAUUAUAUAU